rnacentral:tRNA from 1 species
UUUUAUAUAGUUUAAAAAAAAACAAUACAUUUUCAUUGUAUCAAUAAUAUAAUAAAUAUUUAUAAAUA